GUCUACAGCCAUGCCACCCUGAACACGCCCGAUCGCGUCUGAUCUUGGAAGCUAAGCAGGGUCGGGCCUGGUUAGUACUUGGAUGGGAGACCAUCUAGGAAGACCAGGUGCUAUAGGCG
rnacentral:rRNA from 1 species